AAGGAAUAUUGCACAAUGGGCGCAAGCCUGAUGCAGCAACGCCGCGUGCCCGAGGACGGCCUUCGGGUUGUAAAGGGCUUUUCUGGCUGACGAGGAAGGACGGUAGGCCAGGAAUAAGCGUCGGCUAACUACGUGCCAGCAGCCGCGGUAAAACGUAGGACGCGAGCGUUAUCCGGAUUUACUGGGCGUAAAGCGCGGGCAGGCGGUGGUCCAAGUCGGACGUGAAAGCUCCCGGCUCAACUGGGAGAGGUCGUUCGAAACUGGGCCGCUAGAGGGCAGUAGAGGGGCGUGGAAUUCCGGGUGGAGUGGUGAAAUGCGUAGAGAUCCGGAGGAACACCAGAGGCGAAGGCGGCGCCCUGGGCUGCACCUGACGCUGAGCCGCGAAAGCUAGGGGAGCGAA
rnacentral:rRNA from 1 species